UACGUAGGGUGCAAGCGUUAAUCGGAAUUACUGGGCGUAAAGCGUGCGCAGGCGGUUAUGUAAGACAGAUGUGAAAUCCCCGGGCUCAACCUGGGAACUGCAUUUGUGACUGCAUAGCUAGAGUACGGUAGAGGGGGAUGGAAUUCCGCGUGUAGCAGUGAAAUGCGUAGAUAUGCGGAGGAACACCGAUGGCGAAGGCAAUCCCCUGGGCCUGCACUGACGCUCAUGCACGAAAGCGUGGGGAGCAAACAGG
rnacentral:rRNA from 1 species